rnacentral:rRNA from 1 species
UGCAGUCGANCGCAGUAGCAAUACUGAGUGGCAGACGGGUGAGUAUAAUGUGGGAAUCUGCCUUUUGGUUCGGAAUAACUCGGGGAAACUUGAGCUAAUACCGGAUAAGCCCUUACGGGGAAAGAUUUAUCGCCGAAAGAUGAGCCCGCACUUGAUUAGCUUGUUGGUGAGGUAAAAGCUCACCAAGGCAACAAUCAAUAGCUGUUCUUAGAGGAAGACCAGCCACAUUGGGACUGAGACACGGCCCAGACUCCUACGGGAGGCAGCAGUGGGGAAUCUUGCACAAUGGGGGAAACCCUGAUGCAGCGAUGCCGCGUGAGUGAAGAAGGCCUUUGGGUUGUAAAACUCUUUCGUCGGGGAAGAAAAUGACUGUACCCGAAUAAGAAGGUCCGGCUAACUUCGUGCCAGCAGCCGCGGUAAUACGAAGGGACCUAGCGUAGUUCNNNNNNNNNGNGCUUAAAGAGCUCGUAGGUGGUUAAAAAAGUUGGUGGUGAAAUCCCAAGGCUUAACCUUGGAACUGCCAUCAAAACUUUUUAGCUAGAGUGUGAUAGAGGAAAGUGGAAUUUCUAGUGUAGAGGUGAAAUUCGUAGAUAUUAGAAAGAACACCAAAUGCGAAGGCAACUUUCUGGAUCAUUACUGACACUGAGGAGCGAAAGCAUGGGUAGCGAAGAGGAUUAGAUACCCUCGUAGUCCAUGCUGUAAACGAUGUGUGCUAGACGUUGGAAAUUUUAUUUUCAGUGUCGCAGCAAAAGCGUUAAGCACACCGCCUGGGGAGUACGACCGCAAGGNUAAAACUCAAAUGAAUUGANGGGNACCCGCACAAGCAGNNNNGCAUGUGGU